UGACCUCGGAUCAGGUAGGAAUACCCGCUGAACUUAAGCAUAUA
rnacentral:rRNA from 1 species